rnacentral:miRNA from 1 species
UGAGGCAGGAGAAUUGCUUGAACCCAGGAGGUGAAGGUUGCAGUGAGCCGAGAUCGUGCCACUGCACUCCAGGCUGGGUGACAGAGCGAGACU